GGGAGGGGGAGGGGCGCCGACCGGCACCGCGGCGGGGGGGUGGGGGGGGCGGCCCGCGGGAGAGCCGCCGCGAGCGGGAGUUAGAGACGCAGGCCCGGGGGCGCAGGGGGAGGGCGAGCGAGCCGAGGAACCGAGAGGGGCGGCCGGGACGCCGGAGCCACCGAAACGAGAGAGGAAAAGACAGACACUGAGAAUCGAAGGAGGCAGAGAAGUGAACAGAGAAGGAAGGACGGAAAGACAAACAGACUCGAUUCAAACGAAACACCGCCAUGGCAGCUGCCUUUGGCACCGGCCACGACCCUCUCCCCUGGUACCCGGAAAGCGUCUUCAGCUCCCCUUCUGCCCCUGGCCGGGAAGGAACCUGAGAGAAACGAAAAGGAGGGGCCCAAAACCCAGUCUAAGAAAAAGUGGUCUGCGCUGCUUCUCAAAACCUGAAAAAUCGCAUUUUUUUCUGACCAUUUGGGUUCAUUGCUGCAAGGAGUUGCCGGGACCAAGUACAACAUUUUCUGUAGGACUCAUAGCUGCUUUGGGAGCGACCAGCAACACCCCGUGGAAGGUCCAUCUGUGUCUCCCCAGGACUGGGAACUCUUCAAGGAAACUUCCAGAUUGGAGGCUUCCUUUCAGCAGCGAUGAUGGGGAGUCUUCUGAUAAAUUGCAGUGAUGUUCUAGGCUGUCCCCCCUACCCACUGACACCCACAUUGUCGGCUGCUCUUCUGGAAAACGGGGAUCAAGAGGCCGACAGAGACACAAUCUCUGUAGUCCGUGAGUUUACAGCCUUCCCCUAUGAAGUGUGGCAAACGUGAUCGCCCACCUCAAGGGGUUUUGAGAGACUCUGAUAAGAUAUCUGAUAAGUGAAAUGCUUAGCCUGGGCUCGAGCACACAGUGAAUGCCCAAUCGAUGUUUUAGUUUUUAUUAUAUGUUCCAGGGCAGGGUGGUGGUGGUGGUGGUGUUUGAAUGAGCAUCUAUGGAUCAUGAUUUCAACAACCACACUCCCAAGAUGCUGGAGAACAGGUGCUAGGGAAAUAGGGUGAGGAGCAAUGUAAGAAUUCUAGAAUGCUGGUCAUGUCCCCAUGGCGGUUGGGUUUAGCUUGGAGUGUUUUUCCACAUCACUUAUUAGGCAAAUUCUUAAAAUGAGAAGGUGAUGCAAGCUUGCAGAGGCCAAGGGAGGAACUGGAAGGAUUUCAUUUUGCUCCGCCUCCAUUUUGGAGGGCUCUCCAAACAAGGCAGCUUUGGUAGGGUUGUUUUGUUUUGUUUUGUUUCUGUUUUAUGUAUUGGGAUUACGCACCCUUUUGGGGGGUUAUUUAAAAAUAUAUAUUUUUUAAAGUUAAGUAUGGCUAAUUUAAUAGGAAACAACUGUCCUCACCCCUGCAAGCCUGAGGAGAGGAGGGGCAGGAGGUGGGAAGCUGGCUGCAGAAGCAGCCGCUCAGGCUGCUAGAGGAACAGAGAGCUCUGGGUGGGACACGGCUCUCUGAGGGGCCCACUGCCACUGAUGAGGUUCGCAGAUCCACACGACAAGCCCCCUGGGGCCACUCUCAGCUCCUGUGUUCACUGAGCAAAACACUACCUAUUCUGGGGCACCAGAAUUCCAUCUGCCUUCAGCUCUGGUCAUGAUCCCAGGGUCCUGGGAUCGAGCCUCGCAUCAGGCUCCCUGCUCCGCGGGAAGCUGCUUCUCCCUCUCCCACUCCCCCUGCUUGUGUUCCCUCUCUCGCUGUCUCUCUCUCUCUCUGUCAAAUAAAUAAAUGAAAUCUUUAAAAAAAAAUAAUUCACUAGUCAAAGAAGAAACCAUAAGAGAAAUUAGAAAAUAUACAGAACUAACAAUAAUGAAAAUGCCACAUAUAAAAACCUGAAAGAAAAUUAUAGCCUUAAAUGCUAUUUAAUGAAGUAAGCAACGAAAUUAAAAGACGGAAAAGAGAUAGGAACAUAAAUCCUGAGACUAUACGAGGAAGGAGAUAAUAAAGGUAAGAGCAGAAAAUUAAAAUAGAAAACCAGGAUACAGUAGAGAAGAUUAAAAGUCAUAAGUUGGUUCUUGAAAAAGAUAAAAUGACAAAACUUUGGAAAGAUUGAUUAGGGGAAAAAACAAAGAGAGAAGGCACAAACAUUCCAAAUUAAAAAUUAGUACAAGGAACAAAGAUACAGAUGCUACAGUUAUUUAAAUGACAGGGUAUAUUAUGGUCAACUUUUUGUCAACAUAUUUAAUAACUUAGAUGUAAUGGAUUAAUUUCCAGGAAAAAACUAAAAUUCACCAAAAUGGAUUCAAUAACAAAUACAAAAUAUAGGGGUGCCUGGGUGGCUCAGUCAGUUAAGCAUCCAGCUCUUGGUUUCAGCUCAGGUUGUGAUCUCAGGGUUGUGUGAUCGGGCCCCAGGUUGGGCUCCAUGCUUAGCAUGGAAUCUGCUUGAGAUUCUCUUUCCCUCUCCCUCUGCCCCUACCUGCCCCAAAUAAAUGAAUAAAUCUUUAAAAAAAGAAAUACAAAAUAUAAAUGGUCAUAUAACAAGUAAAUGAAAUAAAUUUAAUUACUGGUGAAAAUUUUUAAAUUAAAAAUAAGUUUAGGGGGGCGCCUGGGUGGCUCAGUUGGUUAAGCAUCUGCCUUCAGCUCAGGUCAUGAUCCCAGGGUCCCGGGAUCAAGCCCCGCAUUGGGCUCCCUCUCCCUCUGCCUGCCUCUCUGCCUACUUAUGCUCUCUAUCUCUCUGUCAAAUAAAUAAAUAAAAUCUUUGAAAAAAAAAUAAGUUUAGGGGCACCUGGAUGGCUCAGUCGGUUGUGUCUGCCUUCGGUUCAGGUCAAGAUCCCGGGGUGCUAGGAUCCAGUCCCGCAUCUGGCUCCUGCUCAGCAUGGAGUCUGCUUCUCCCUCUCCUCUACCCCUCCCCACUGCUUGUGCUCUCUCUCUCUCUCACUCUCUCAAAUAAAUAAAAUCUUAAAAGAAAAAAAAAGAACUUACUUUAAAAAAAAAAGUUUAAUUACUGGCACUGCUCCCUGAACUCUCCCAUCAGACCACACACACAAAAACAAAGACCAAAUGGUUUUUAACAGCGAGUUCUGCCAAACAUACUAGGAAAAAGUAAUUCCAAUUUUAUACAAACUAUUUUCCAGAAAGAAAAGCGAAGAGAGCUCUCCCAACUCACUUUAUUUAUUUUUUAUUUUUUUUAGAGGAGAUUUUUUUUAAAGAUUUUAUUUAUUUAUUUAUUUAUUUGAUAGAGAGAGAGACAACGAGAGAGGGAACACAAGCAGGGGUAGUGGGAGAGGGAGAAGCAGGCCUCCUGCUGAGCAGGGAGCCUGAUGUAGGGCUCAAUCCUAGGACCCUGGGAUCAUGACCUGAGCCGAAGGCAGAUGCUUAAGGACUGAGCCACCCAGGCACCCCUCUCCCAACUCAUUUUAUAAGGCUAGCAUUACCUUGAUACUAAAAUAUGCAAUCUCAUUAUGAGAAAGGAAAAUUAUACUCAUAAGCAUAGAUGCAAAAAAUCCCAAACAAAAUAUUAGCAGACUGAAUCCUGCAGUUGGGUUUAUGCUAUGAAUGCAAGGAUGGUUUAACAAAGAAAAUUGAUAAAUGUAAUUCAAUAUAUUAAGAGAUCAAAAGAUGCAAAAAAAAAGCAUUCCAAAAAAUUCUACAUUGAUUCAUGAUUAAAAACUCACAGUAAUAUGGAAAUAGAAAAGCACCUCCUUUAACUGAUGGAUGGUAUAUACACUGUAAGUGUUAAACCAAAAGGAAAACUCCUAGAAAGUAGAAUACAAGACAUAAUGGAUAGUAAGAGAAAAGAUAAGAAAAUUAGAGGAUAAUUCCAGAAAUUCCAAAAGAAGAGAAAACAGAAAACACAGUAGUAAAGAAAUUAUUAAAGAAACAUUACAAGGAAAAUCCCACAACUGAAAAUUGGAAGGACCUACAGAGCGUGGAGCACAACUGUUAAGAUACAAUAAUAAUACUUCAGAACAUCAGUUCUAAAAGUUUCCAGAAAGAAAAAAAAAAUUACAGUUGAAGGAUUAUAGUUGGAAGAACACCAAACUAUCAAUCAGUAGGAAAUGGGAUUAGACAUUUUCAGACAUAUGAUGUCUCAAAAAAUUGCCUCCCAAGUACUCUUUCUCAAGAAGCUUCUAGAAGAUAUUUCCACCAAAAAAAACAAGGGAAUAAACCAGGAGGGAGAAAAUGGGGGAAUCAACCUAACAAGAUGGUGAAGGGAAGUCCUAGUGAAAGAAUUCUGCAGCCUGUGAAAGAGCAGCCAGUCCAGAUUGGAGCAGAAGAACAGAGAUGUUGGAGGUUAAAUGAUUCAAAGGGGGGAAAAGAAAGGCAAAUGUUAACUCCAGUUGUGAAGAAAAACAAAAAGCUUGCAUGGGGACAAGAUGUAAAUCACAGCACACUACAUAGCUCAGCUCUGACUAACAUUUUUCUAAUCAUAAUCAUAGAAUCACUGAAUGUUGAUUUCAUAAAGAUCAUGAAAUAACAACCUUGGGAGGUUGGAUGGAAGGGAAGGAUAUUGGUGUGUGGGAAAGGAUGUGUGUAGUAUGUAAUUGUAUGUGUAAGAGCUAAUUUAUCAUCAUCCAGUAAAAAGUCAAUGGAUAAUAUAUACAGCUAAAAAAAUGAAGACUGUGUAUAAACUUUCUAUUUGUAAACAUGAAGAUUAAAACAGAAGUGUCCACUAAAAGAGAGUGGUUGAUUCUGGAGAGUAAAAUCAAGGAUGAGAAGGCAUGAGGUGGAGAAGACAACUGUAUGCCGAAUUAUUUUAUCUUUUCUACUAUGUGUACGUAUAACUUUGAUCAACAUAAAAAUUUAAAAGGUCUGCAUUUGUUCAGGCCAAUAAUUUUAAUUCUAGGAAUCCAUGUGAUGGAACUAUUAAUAAUGUACAUAAAUAUUAUUAUGCAUUUUUAAACUUCUCUAGUCAUAAUACUCUGUCUUUUCAUCCAUGCACUCAUGGAAGCUUCCUCCUGUGAUCCGUGAAUAGAGAAACAAAGUUUUUCUUUCCUUUCACUGGGAUGUGGGAGAUGGUGGGAGGGAAGCAAUGGGGGAAGGGCAAGUGUAGUGGGUUGAGGGAGAGGGACCUGGGGUGGAGCCUCAGAGCAGAAACAUGGGAUGAAGGCAGAGCACAUCGUUCCAUCCCUCCUCAAACAUCUGGGUGGCGGGGGGUUGUUUGGGGACCCAGGAAGGAGAAGGAUUUCUACCCAAGAGGAGUAAGGCACUUGACAGAAGAAAGAGCUGGAAGGCCCUACUGACAGAGUCAACAUCUGGAGGUUCCCUGAACUCUUCAAAGAACUUCACAGCACUGACACCUGGGUGGCUCAGUGGGUUGAGUGUCAUCAGAUUCUUGGUUUCAGCUCAGGUCAUGAUCUCAGGGUCAUGAUAUCAAGCCCCACAUGGGGCUCCAUGCUCAGCGAGGAGUCUGCUUGAGAUUCUCGCUUUCCCUCUCCCCUCCCCUCUGCUUAGGUUCACCCUCUCUCUUUCUCUCUCUCUCUCAAAUAAAUAAAUAAAAUCUUAAAAAAAAAAAAAAGAAAGAACUUUACAGCAUUUCAUGUGAGCAGGAAA